rnacentral:rRNA from 1 species
GACAGAGGUCCCGAGCGUUAGGCGGAACCACUGGGCUUAAAGCGUGUGUAGGCGGAUCGUUAAGUGCCUUGUGAAAUCCCACGGCUCAACCGUGGAACUGCUCGGCAUACUGGCGAUCUUGAGCCACCUAGGGGCAACCGGAACAAAUGGUGGAGCGGUGAAAUGCGUAGAUAUCAUUUGGAACGCCAAUGGUGAAAACAGGUUGCUGGGGGUGUGCUGACGCUGAGACACGAAAGCCAGGGGAGCGAACGGG